GGGGCAAUAGCUCAGUUGGUUAGAGCAGCGGACUCAUAAUCCGUUGGUCGGGGGUUCAAGUCCCUCUUGCCCCA
rnacentral:tRNA from 1 species